GACGAACGCUGGCGGCGUGCCUAAUACAUGCAAGUCGAACGCAGUGGGGACGGGUGAGUAACACCUGGGUAACCUCCCAUCAGAGGGGAUAACACUUGGAAACAGGUGCUAAACCGAUACUGAUGGAUGGAGCCGCGGUGCAUUAGCUGGUUGGUGAGGUAACGGCUCACCAAGGCCACGAUGCAUAGCCGACCUGAGAGGGGGAUCGGCCACAGUGCGACGGAGACACGGCCCAGACUCCUACGGGAGGCACGAGUAGGGAAUCUUCGGCAAUGGGCGAAAGUCUGACCGAGCAACGCCGCGUGAGUGAAGAAGGUUUUCGGAUCGUAAAGCUCUGUUGUUAGAGAAGCGGUAUCUAACCAGAAAGCCACGGCUAACUACGUGCCAGCAGCCGCGGUAAUUC
rnacentral:rRNA from 1 species